AGAGGAAGGGGGGGAGGCAGGAAGAGAGGGAGGGGAGCAGAGCUGCUGCCAAACAGAGGGCUUGACAGAGAGGAGCUGGGGAAGGAAAGAGGAGAGGAAUUAUCGCAGGGAAGGGAGGAGGAUUAAAAAACACGGGGAAAGCGACUGGAAUAGGAAGUGACAGAGGAGUAGUGGGAGAAAGAGAAGGGAGAGGAAGAGGAGGCAGACAGGUAGGAGGCGGGGAAAAAAACAUUAUCUUGAGGGAAAGCGACCCGGAUAGAAAGAGAGAGGGAAUCAUUUUCAGUCAACGCUCCAGAAAAUUCCCGGGAAAUCAACUGAAGAGAAAGAUGGGGAAGCAAAUGUUAUGAAUUUUGAAUAAUCCCCCAUAAUAUUUUUGAAGGUGAACUAGAUUUGAAGAUGCAGACAAAGCAGUGCCCGUGGGUCUGACAGUAAACCGAGAGGGGGGAAAAAGUACCAAAGAAAAUGCUGCUUAAUAUUUUAUUCUGGUUUUAAGUGGCGAACAUUAUAUUCAUCUUACAUAUUCAUUCUUUCAAACUUAUUUUUUUGCAUAAUAGCUCGAGGGCUUUCCUUUUAUUUCCCUGCAACACUUUGCUUUUUAUCUUUUUUGACACACAAUGUCCGGCGAUUCACGCAUUUGAGCCACUCUCUCUUUUUGUUGCUGUGUUUGCUGCGAGUACCCCCGGCUCAUCUCCCCUUGCUGUUUGUACUCCAUCCAACCCUCUCAGCCUACAUUUGCUUAAAAUCAUUGGCUGAGUCCAUCAGGAGUUGUGUCAAGAAAUGCACGUACACACUUGGAAAGUGCACACAAACAUUCCAUGCCAACACGCCGCCGUGACUUCACACUCGGUGAUGAGCCACAAAUCAGCUAAUCCUUCUCCUUCCGGCGGUCUGACAUUAAAGUGUCCUCAGCACAUUUCCCCUAAUGGAAAGCAGGUCAUUAAUUAAGAGGUUGAAAACAACAAGUUGUGGUGAAUAAAGACUGGUUCACCACCAUCUGAAAAAGGCAGGACGCCGCCCGUUAAUUCUCCGAGAAAGCAGCGAGACGGGGGGAGCAAAGGGUGUUGGCUGAAAAUCAAGAGGGAGGAGAUGGAUGGAGAGGAGGAAUCCUGGGGGAGAGAUGGAGGGCAGAGAGCGCAGAUUGAUGAUCGGUCUUAAAUUCUCUCUCUCCCGCUGUCUAAUAGCACAUGUUCUCCAUUGUAUUCUUUGAACAUGUACUAUUCUUACAGGUGUAAAUACUCAACAAUUAAACAAAACUUGUUUCUUGUUAAUGGAUUUGUGGUUUGGGGGAGUCAGCAGACGUUACUGCAAAGAUUGUAGUAUUUGUUUAAAGUCACAAAAUAUAUAUUUUGAUACUUUCACUUCUGUUUAAAACAAGGUGCCUGUACGCAGUACAUUUUCAUACUCUGCUCUAAAUAAUUUAUUUCGACUCCAUGUGUCACCUCUGCUCUUUCCCUGUUACUCGUCUCCUUGCUUUUGAUCCAUGUCCUUCUUUUCUCCUCUACUUUCGUCUCAUCUUCACCUCCCCUCAUUCAUUAAAUCUUAAACUUGAGGAUGAGAAUGUUCAUGUUGGGUCUCCCUCAAAUUCAACCUCAAUCUGCCUCUUAAUCUUACUCAGCCGCCGCCUCCAUUGCCACUCAAACCUUUCCCCUCUCUACCUUCCCUUUCUCUGUUUUAUCAGUCUCUCACCAUCUCGCCACGCUCUCAUCUAACUGUCUGCCAUUGUCUCUCAAAUGCCAGUGUAGGUGUAGUGCCACGCCAUUCCUGUCAGUCCCACUCUGUUUGUCUCGCUCUGUGUCACUUCCGCUCAUCACUCCAGUCCUCCGUGACCGUCCCUCAGUGUAGAUUAGUUCAGCGUGGAGAUCAGCACGAAGAAUUGAUUUAUGGGACUGUUGAGUUAUGGGAAAUUCUGGGUCAUUUUCUCAUAGAUCUACAUACGGGAAUCCGGGACAAUGCAAGUUAAUGGCAGUUUAGCAUUGGCUUCCCUUUUUUUAGAAUCAGAGGAUUCUGCUUGGCUGUAGCUUCAUAUUUAAGUUUUUUACAGUGGUAUCAAACCUCUUUGUUAAUUAAUUACUUACUAAAUAAGGUCACUGAAGGUUACGUUACAAAGGGUUUUCUGCCUGCUCUUUACAUCUUGGGUAGGAAUUAACUGACAAUGACUGGCAGUGUGGAAUACAGAUUUUUGUCUAAUAUUAUCUAGAAAGGUUAAAGUUAAAACAACUGAAAGGUCAUUGAAAGUAACGUCGUCGCAUUGGAUGUUUAAAGCUGCUCCGCGGCUCUCAUUAUUGCAGCUCUCUUAAAAAUAAAGGUCUAAUUUGCAGAUGGAUCCCUCCCUCCCCAUGUGGGCCAGCUGGGUCUAAUUCCCAUCUGUGGCACUUUUUGUACUGCGAUCCCUCUUUGUCUGCAACCCUCUCAGCUUUCCCUCUUUUUCCAUCAAAGGAAAAGCACACAAAGAUCUCAACCUGUCUGUUCCUUGUGUCAGAGAGACACAAGUCCUGCAGUGAAAGAAGAGCUCUGCUCUAACCUUUCUGUGAGACAAUGUGGGUCAGCCGGAUAUAAGGAGAAAACAACCAAUAGGGUUUGUAUUUUAUUAUCUAACGCGUAACCUUUGAGUGAUCCAGCAUAAUGUUUUGCCUGUAUUUUAAUAUUAUGUCACUCUUCUUCCUUUUCCUUUGUAUUUUACUGGACUGAGAAAGGGUACCACUACAUGCCGUUCCAUGGGCGGAUCAAUGACCCCGCUGCUAAUGUAUUUAAAGUAUUGAUGAUCCUUGCUAUCCAUUUGUCAACCAGUCUAUCCACUCCUGUCAGUCAGCCAUCCAAGCAGCCAUUUAGUUUGAUGAUGGCCAUGUCUAUCAGCCAAAAUGUCACCUUAACCCAUCAGCAACGUUGGCAAACUGUCAACGGGCCUGACGACGCCGCAUGAUGAUCCAUUCAUUAUCCAUCACACCCCCAAAGAAAGUUGCUCCUUGUCAUCAUCUGCAGUAUUCUACUCUCACUUCUCUGAUGUCCGUCAUGGGAAAAGUCAUCAGUUUGUAUGUGUUGGCCCAGUUUAUAAGUGUUGGCCCAACACAUGCUGGCACCGCUCUUUCCCCCAUGCAACCAUGCACAGGAUAAGAGAGCAUAGAUGGAUGGAUAAAAAUCAUUCAAGUCAGCCAAGAGCUGCCAAUUAGCUAACCAUCGCACCGAGAGGCAACUAGUUGAGUAGCCAGCCAGCAAUAGAAUACCAAUAGAAGAUGCCAAUAGAAGAUUAUCCGACUGUGCACCAGCGGGAGGUCCACUUCAAUUUUCACUGUCAGCCUGCAUUUCAUGCUAAUGUGGUCUUGGUCCCCUGCAAAGCCGUUCGCUGUGUGUCUGCGUGUGUGUGUCAACAGCAACAGCCGCAGUAACCCAAUCAGCCCUUCAGAGAGGAGAUCGGCCGUCCGAAAGAGGAGGGAUGUAGAAAGGUCCUGUGUGAAACAGGAGAAAGGUCAGCUAAAAGGUACACCUGAAUGUUGCCUUCCCACUGACGCUCUGACCCAGGAGCCUCCUGACCUUCUCACCUCCAGGCCUGUGCUUUAAAGGCUCGCUGAAUAAUCUGUGAUGUCAGGAUACGUUAAGAAGAAACCAAUGGAGCAAAUGAUCAAAUCCAAACAGAAAAUGAGAGUUGGAUAGAGUUGCAAUAAGGAGACCUCAUUAAUGCAGAGACACUAACUUGCCCUCACUCGCUCCUUCUCUCUUCUUCUCCUAAAGUUUUGUGACACAAAGCGGAUUUGUAAAAUCCAGAAGGCUCUUAUUGCAGCUCAGUGAUCGGCGCAUGCAUGCGCAUACACGGGAGUGUAAAGCCUUUGAAUUUACAUGUUUCAUAGCUUUACAGCUUACGAUCAAUAAUUCACACAUGUUUAAGCACAUGUAGUAUUCCAUUAUUCAUCUUUGGUUCAUAUAAAGUCAUCCAUGCAGGCACCGCUGUAACGUAUAACGUGGCUCUGCUUGUGUGUGCGCGGUUUGAAUUUCUGGAUUUCAGUGGAUUAUCCCAUUUUACGGUUGAUGUUUGUAUCAUUGAAAACUGCUAGAAAACUUGCAGAUGACUAAUAUUUGGUCCAGUCCGCUAAUGUCAUCACUGUAUAGAGUUUAUCUAACUCUACAUUGGUCGUCUUGUGGUACCGUUCGAGCAGAAAAGCACACCUAGCGGUAGAAAUGAUGACAUGUGGGAAUAUGACGAGCAAUGGAAUUAAAGUGUCUUUUUAGAUAUUA